UACGUAGGGGGCAAGCGUUGUCCGGAAUCAUUGGGCGUAAAGAGCGUGUAGGCGGCCCGGUCAGUCGGUUGUGAAAGUCAAGGGCUCAACCCUUGAAUGCCGGCCGAUACUGCCGGGCUAGAGUCCGGAAGAGGUGAGUGGAAUUCCUGGUGUAGCGGUGAAAUGCGCAGAUAUCAGGAGGAACACCGAUGGCGAAGGCAGCUCACUGGGACGGUACUGACGCUGAGACGCGAAAGCGUGGGGAGCAAACAGG
rnacentral:rRNA from 1 species